CCCAGACUCAUACGGGAGGCAGCAGUGGGGAAUAUUGCACAAUGGGGGGAACCCUGAUGCAGCGACGCCGCGUGGGUGAAGGAGUACUUCGGUACGUAAAGCCCUAUCAGCAGGAAAGAAAAUGACGGUACCUGACUAAGAAGCCCCGGCUAACUACGUGCCAGCAGCCGCGGUAAUACGUAGGGGGCAAGCGUUAUCCGGAUUUACUGGGUGUAAAGGGAGCGUAGACGGCAGUGCAAGUCCGGAGUGAAAGCCCGGGGCUCAACCCUGGGACUGCUCUGGAAACUGUAAAGCUGGAGUGCGGGAGGGGCAGGCGGAAUUCCUGGUGUAGCGGUGAAAUGCGUAGAUAUCAGGAGGAACACCGGCGGCGAAGGCGGCCUGCUGGACCGUAACUGACGUUGAGGCCCGAAAGCGUGGGGAGCAAACAGGAUUAGAUACCCCAGUACC
rnacentral:rRNA from 1 species